GGGUCAGUGGCUGCUUUGUGAAGAAGGAGGAGUCAGUGCUUGGAGGAGCUGCCCAAGAAAAAAACACCAGGAAGGUUUGGCCCUGUUGGACCAGGAGGCUGCACUGCAGGGAGUUAUUUGAGAUGAGCAGAGAUUCUCCAUGAACAUCCCAGUGAAGAGGAGGCUGUGGCUCUGCACCAGAAGAUUCAUACAGAAAAGGGACGUGAAUGCUCCAGCUGGACAGGAACUUCUGGGAGGAGACGUGUUACUUACCUGCAUACAGCAUCAAGAACCACCCUGAGCUCCCCUGCCACACCUUGAGCUAAGCUCUGUCACCAACUGAAGGCAUUUGUGGCUGCCUUUGGCAGCAGUAACCCAGCCCCAGUGGGGAAGAUUUUCAGCAGCUGAGCUGUCACUUUGCUAACUGAUCACAAGCCAGAUAAUGAACUCAGUUUUGCUAUUAGCCUUUUAAAU